rnacentral:rRNA from 1 species
AUUGAACGCUGGCGGAAUGCAUUACACAUGCAAGUCGAACGGCAGCACGGACUUCGGUCUGGUGGCGAGUGGCGAACGGGUGAGUAAUGUAUCGGAACGUGCCCAGUCGUGGGGGAUAACGCAGUGAAAAUUACGCUAAUACCGCAUACGAUCUAUGGAUGAAAGCGGGGGAUCGCAAGACCUCGCGCGAUUGGAGCGGCCGAUAUCAGAUUAGGUAGUUGGAGGGGUAAAGGCCCACCAAGCCAACGAUCUGUAGCUGGUCUGAGAGGACGACCAGCCACACUGGAACUGAGACACGGUCCAGACUCCUACGGGAGGCAGCAGUGGGGAAUUUUGGACAAUGGGCGAAAGCCUGAUCCAGCCAUUCCGCGUGCAGGAUGAAGGCCCUCGGGUUGUAAACUGCUUUUGUACAGAACGAAAAGGUUUCUACUAAUACUAGGAGCUCAUGACGGUACUGUAAGAAUAAGCACCGGCUAACUACGUGCCAGCAGCCGCGGUAA